AGGACAUGCAGCAAUGAUUGGAAAUGAAACAGGAAAAAUCAUCAAUUUUGCAACUCGCAACAGCUAUUGUAGAGUAUGUGAUAACUCUGAAAAAUCUGGGAAAGUUCUACCUAUCCAUGACUGUCGAAAGAACUGGUCCAAAAGUGCAAAAGCCAUGGAGCCAGAUAUGUACAUACAGAUGUUGCAAUAACUUGGCCAAAAUGAUGUGAAUGUCAAUACUGUUAUCAUGGACAAUGAUUCGACAACUGUUGCAAGAGCACGUCUGGAGGUUAACCCAGCCCUAAAGAAGCAGAGUAACAAAAACCAUACAAUGAAACAAUUUACAAAUAAAUUAUCUGACCUGAAGAAGAGCAAGAACUACAAAGAACUAAAUACCAAAACCAUAAAUCAUAUCAUUAAGUGUUUCAAAUACUGCAUCAGUCAAAAUCAAGAAGAUUUGAUCAGUCUAAAGAAAAAUCUGGAGGCAAUAACACCACAUGUCUAUGGAGACCACAGCCUAUGUGAUACCUGGUGUGGAUUUCUCUCUUCUCCUCAAACCUACAAGCCACAGCAACUUCCUUAUCAUCGGUACCUUUCUAACCAGCACUUGAAAUCUGAUCUCUCAUCUCUCUUUGGAUUCUACAUAUCACAGGCUGAAAAAUUGGUCAACUUAGGAAGUACUCAGGCAAAUGAAAGUUUCAACAAUGCAGUUGCAAGUAAAACACCAAAGUCCACUUUCUACUCUGGCUCCGAGAGUAAUGACUUUCGUAUAGCUGCUGCUGUGGCACAGAAAAAUUAAGAACAUCAAUAUGUAAUACAGGUAAAUGAGAGGUUGCUUCUUUCUCCUGGACAAGUCACUAGUUCCAGUGCAAAGAAAACGGACUUGAAAAGGAAACGAGACAAGGAAAGAGAAGAUACAGCAGCUUACAAGAAAAACAGGGCAAUGAAGAAAAUAGAUUCCCAUAAGCCACAAGAGUCAUCAGAGAUUAGUGAGGGAACUACAUACAAAACAUGCGUUGAUCUAAACAACAAUGAAGAAGACAUGGAAAACAUUACAGAGAUACCACUACCCCUGAGAAAACCCCAGUCUACUCCUAUUGCUCAUGACCAGUGCACAUUUGUUUAUUUUGAUUUGGAAACUUCAGGUCUUGGUAAAGAUUGUGAAGUCACCCAGAUUGGUGCGUGUGUUUCUGA